CCUACGGGGUGCAGCAGUGGGGAAUAUUGGACAAUGGGGGGAACCCUGAUCCAGCGACGCCGCGUGAGUGAAGAAGUAUUUCGGUAUGUAAAGCUCUAUCAGCAGGGAAGAAAAUGACGGUACCUGACUAAGAAGCCCCGGCUAACUACGUGCCAGCAGCCGCGGUAAUACGUAGGGGGCAAGCGUUAUCCGGAUUUACUGGGUGUAAAGGGAGCGUAGACGGUGCAGCAAGUCUGAUGUGAAAGGUCGGGGCCCAACCCCGGGACUGCAUUGGAAACUGUUGAACUGGAGUACAGGAGAGGUAAGCGGAAUUCCGAGGGUAGCGGGGAAAUGAGGAGAGAAUAGGAGGAACGCCAGUGGAGAAGGCGGCUUACGGGACUGUAACUGACGUUGAGGCUAGAAAGCGUGGGGAGCAAACAGGAUUAGAUACCCGGGUAGUC
rnacentral:rRNA from 1 species